AGAAAUUUAGGUUAAGCAGACCGGAAGCCUUCAAAGCUUCAAGUAAGCCCCCUACCGCUUAAUUUCUG
rnacentral:tRNA from 1 species